GACGAACCGUGCGAACGUUAUUCGGAAUCACUGGGCUUAAAGAGCGCGUAGGCGGGCCGGCACGUCGGUCGCUGAAAUCCCCCGGCUCAACCGGGGAAGGGGCGCCGAUACGACCGGCCUGGAGGGGCGUAGGGGGACCUGGAACUUCCGGUGGAGCGGUGAAAUGCGUUGAGAUCGGAAGGAACGCCCGUGGCGAAAGCGAGGUCCUGGACGCCUACUGACGCUGAGGCGCGAAAGCCAGGGG
rnacentral:rRNA from 1 species